rnacentral:rRNA from 1 species
AUAUCAAUAAGCGGAGGAAAAGAAACCAACAGGGAAUGCCUUAGUAACGGCGAAGUGAAGCGGCAACAGCUCAAAUUUGAAAUCUGGCCCUUGGGUCCGAAUUGUAAUUUGUAGAGGAUGAUUUUGGUGCGGUAUCUUCCGAGUUCCUUGGAACAGGACGCCUUAGAGGGUGAGAGCCCCGUACGGUUGAAUGCCUAGCCUCUGUAAAUCUCCUUCGACGAGUCGAGUAGUUUGGGAAUGCUGCUCUAAAUGGGAGGUAAAUUUCUUCUAAAGCUAAAUAUUGGCCAGAGACCGAUAGCGCACAAGUAGAGUGAUCGAAAGAUGAAAAGCACUUUGAAAAGAGGGUUAAAUAGCACGUGAAAUUGUUGAAAGGGAAGGAUUUGUGACCAGACUUUUUCUGGGCGGAUCAUCCGGGGUUCUCUCCGGUGCACUUUGCCCAGUAAAGGCCAGCAUCGGUUUUCGGCGGGGGAUAAAAGCAGUAGGAAUGUGGCUCUCUACGGGGAGUGUUAUAGCCUAUUGUAUAAUACCCUGCUGGGGACCGAGGUACGCGCUUCUGCAAGGAUGCUGGCGUAAUGGUUAUCAAUCACCCGUCUUGAAACACGGACCAAGGAGUCGAACAUUUGUGCGAGUGUUUGGGUGUUAAACCCUCACGCGUAAUGAAAGUGAACGGAGGUGAGAGCCCUUACGGGUGCAUCAUCGACCGAUCCUGAAGUUUUCGGAUGGAUUUGAGUAAGAGCAUAACUGUUCGGACCCGAAAGAUGGUGAACUAUGCGUGGAUAGGGUGAAGCCAGAGGAAACUCUGGUGGAGGCUCGCAGCGGUUCUGACGUGCAAAUCGAUCGUCAAAUCUGCGCAUGGGGGCGAAAGACUAAUCGAACCAUCUAGUAGCUGGGUA